rnacentral:tRNA from 3 species
CGUCGUCGCCGCCGGCGGCCGACGCGGUUGAGCUUCGGGUGCUCAAUGACGGCGUCUUUGUCGGCAGUUCCGCCGCCGCGACAACGA